UAUUAUAUGAGCAUAUAUGCAUGUAGAGUUGAAAUCUAGAUUUAGUAAUGCAUGAGAUGUAUUAUGAUUUGAUUUUAGAUAUGAUCUAAUGUAAAAAUUAGAUCUGAUAUAAUUUAGAUUAUAUUUAAAUUUUUAUAUAUAUAAUAUGUGAGUAGAUUAGAUAAUCCGAUUAGCAAGUACUUGGAUUGGAUUGAUCACCAGGC
rnacentral:lncRNA from 1 species